GUAGGUAUUCUCGCAGUUGUCUGUGGGCUCCUAGUAUUGCUUUUACCAGAGACAAAAGGAAUCUCAUUACCCGAGACAGUGGAGGAUGUGGAGCAGCUUUCAAGUCAUUUUGGAAAAUGUGGCAAGAAAAAGAAACACCGGGACACCAGCUCUUAUAUUUGACCUCUGAAGGACAGCACUGAGCAAAGAACUGUGUUCUCAUAUCCGGAAUUUGUUCUCCACCUGCCACCACUUCAAAAUCUGCUGCAGAAUAUGGAUUGAACUUCACAUUAUUCUUCUAAGCAUAAGGACAUUUAAAACAAGUAGUGUAUUUUUCUAUGAAUAUGGAAUAAAUACUUUUUUUUCUGAGUACGCUAUUUACAA